rnacentral:rRNA from 1 species
CAAUAGCGUAUAUUAAAGUUGUUGCGGUUAAAAGCUCGUAGUUGGAUUUCUGCCGAGGACGACCGGUCCGCCCUCUGGGUGCGUAUCUGGCUCGGCCUGGGCAUCUUCUUGGAGAACGUAUCUGCACUUGACUGUGUGGUGCGGUAUCCAGGACUUUUACUUUGAGGAAAUUAGAGUGUUUCUAAGCAGGCAUACGCCUUGAAUACAUUAGCAUGGAAUAAUAAGAUAGGACCUCGGUUCUAUUUUGUUGGUUUCUUAGAGCUGAGGUAAUGAUUAAUAGGGAGUAGUUGGGGCGAUUCUAUUUAACUGUCAGAGGUGAAAUUACUUGGAUUUGUUUAAAGACGGACUACUGCGAAAGCAUUUGUCCAAGGAUGUUUUCUAUUGAUCAAGAACGAAAGUUAAGGGGAGUCGAAGAUGAUCAGAUACCAU